rnacentral:rRNA from 1 species
UACGUAGGGUGCAAGCGUUGCCCGGAUUUAUUGGGCGUAAAGGGCGCGCAGGCGGCUACGCACGUCCGUUGUGAAAUCGCUCGGCUCAACUGGGCGGGGUCGGCGGAUACGGCGUAGCUGGAGCAAGCUAGGGGGCAAUGGAAUUCCCGGUGUAGUGGUGGAAUGCGUAGAUAUCGGGAGGAACACCAGUGGCGAAGGCGGUUGCCUGGAGCUUUGCUGACGCUGAGGCGCGAAAGCGUGGGGAGCAAACAGG